UAUUUCUUAACGCAAUUUUUCGAUUCAAUCCGAUGCCUACCGAGAAGACUCCCUGUAUACAUCAGAAGAUGUGUAUAAAAGCUUGUACUCGAAUGCACUAAGCUCCCCCAGUUCCAUUUCCAGAAAGUUAAAACUUUUCUGUACAGUCAUUUUCUUUUUUUCCUUUUUAAAAAAUAUAAGCACCUGUUACAACAUGCAAACCAUAAUAUGCCAAAAUGAACUUUAACCCAAAAUGAGGGGGAAGGGAACUAAAAUCUUGGCCUGGAAAGCCAGGGGAAAAAAAUUUACAAAACCUUUACAUCCUAUACAAAAUUCCAAGUUUCUCUUGUAACUUUUUCCUUUCCAAGUUUGAUCAAUGGAAAUUAUCUGCCUUCAACCCUUCUUAUGCAACCCUUCUUAUCUGUGUAUUUGCACACUACUUCUUUGAGUAAGUAAGAUACGGAUCUUGAGCAAUAUUUAGAACAUCUGGUCUAUCGGAUUGGUUAUAAGUUAGACAUCGCCGAAUAAAAUCCUGUAAGAAACUUCAAAAACUAUUAUUGGAACAAGAAACUUCAUAAUCUUCCUAUAUUUUUUCGUUAAUAUUCAAAGAUGGGACACUGUGGAUUGAAAACAAGUAAAGAAUAAUCGAGGAACAGAACAAUACAAAAUCAGGUACAAGAUAUUAGCCAAAAUGGGUGAUUGAUCAAAUUUCUUUCACAUGCCAUAUAAUAGAAAGGUGAAAGUAGUUAAUUUUACAUUUUUAUAUGCAAAAUAGCUAUUUGUUUGGACGAUCUUGUACUACAGAACAAAGGAUAAGCUGGCUUACAUCACAUAAAAUGCCAGCUAACUGUGUCUCGCCUUAUAUGCAGUAAGCACACUCAGAAGGAUAAUUGCAUGAUAUGUACACUAGAAUAAGAAUAAAACAUGCAGUGACAACUACAAAAACAAGUGGUCUAGCUUACCUUUGACUCAUUUGAGACAGAAGGUUUUGAGGGGAACUCGACCCUGCGAGCUUUGAUAAUUGUGUCUUCACGAAGUAUUCGUUCUUGAGACUGGUCAUGCCCAAAAGGACGUCU
rnacentral:misc_RNA from 1 species